AUUGAACGCUGGCGGCAGGCCUAACACAUGCAAGUCGAGCGAGCGGCGGACGGGUGAGUAAUGUAUGGGGAUCUGCCCGAUCGAGGGGGAUAACUACUGGAAACGGUGGCUAAUACCGCAUACUAUCGGAUGAACCCAUAUGGGAUUAGCUAGUAGGUGGGGUAAAGGCUCACCUAGGCGACGAUCUCUAGCUGGUCUGAGAGGAUGAUCGGCCACAUUGAAACGAAGACAGGGUCCAGAGUCCUACGGGAGGCAGAAGUGGGGAAAAUUGCACAAUGGGAGCAAGCCUGAUGAAGCCAUGCCGCGUGGGGGAAGAAGGCCUUCGGGUUUUAAGGCACGUUCAGCGAGGAGGCGUUACUCGCAGAAGAAGCAACGGCUAACUCCGUGCCAGCAGCCGCGGUAAUAC
rnacentral:rRNA from 1 species